GAUAACAAAAAUUGUGAUGUUUGUGACUCAUGGAGUUUUUAUUUGUAUUUUAAGGAUCGUCAUACCAUUUUAAGAUCCUGGGAUGUGAAAGACUUUACACCAGACUGUCGUCAGUAUCUUUACCUCUUAUUGCCGGCAAUAAAAUACAUAUGAAACUUGAUCAUAUUGUGCGUGAAGAUGGGUUAGGGUUAGGUUAGAUGAGUUCAGCUUUGCCUUGUUAGCCAACAACUGUCUGUAUCCUGGACUGUCCAUACUUGUAUUAUUGCUGGUACAUUUUCAGCAGUGAGCCAUGGCAGCAGUCAUAUAGAAGGCAUGCUGGGAAUGAAAUUCAUCACAUACAGCUGCAAAAAAGUGUUUUCAUUGGUAAUUAUGUGGGCUACACAAGCCUCAGCUGAUGCUCACCAAAGGCAACUUCAAAACUACUUUGUCAACUAUCCAGAGAUUCAGGGGAAUGAAAUCUUAGACUAUUUAUAAUUAAGAUGUUCCUUCAGAGUUGAAAACAACUACAUUCUAGCUUGAACGUCCCACAAGAAGAUGUGAGGUGGCAGCAGGCAGGGGUCUAACCUAGGAUCAUGGAGACCACUAAACGAUAGUCCAGAGUGUAUAUGAUUGAUUGAGUAGACAAAGAAGGGAUGGAUUACUGGAGCUAAAAGAAGGCAUAAUUUAACAAUAGACUACUUUGGGAUAUGGAAUGAGAGAGGCUAUAGUGUUGAUUAUAUAAAUAUGUAGGUCUCAGCUGGGGCUGCACAGCCACGGAAAAUACUGCAUUCCUAACUUAUCUUGGGACUUAUUAUUAAGCUGCCAUUAUCCAAGGACAUAUGAUUCUCUGGAGGCUUACAUCACUGGAAAAAGUCUUUGGGCCCCUGAAGAUUACAGUACAUGUAAUGCUGCAAAAGGAGGAGGAUGCUGGGCCAGGGUAAACACUUCAUAACAUAAUGACAUACACAUACAACUCAAUUUACUUCUAUUGGCUGGAAAUAUUUAAAGCAUGACAGUGGCGUAGGUAAAUUACCAAAUAGUGGAUCUUAUGUUGGAUUGAUCAGCCCUGAUGAACUGACCUGACCAUUGUAAUUGAAACCAUAACUCAUGACCACUCUAUCUGUAUAGGUCCUGGUAUACCCUGGGAUGAUGUUCACCCACAACUUUUAACUUGAAAUCUUAAAGGAAGUUUUGCUAAACUAACAAGCAUGAAUGUCUGGUACAGUAAGAUAGGGUUAAUGGUCAACCUGACAUUAUGGUUCAUUCAUUGGGACAACUAAUGUUUGUGUCUGGCUUGAUGAAGUCUACAAACUGACCACUAUAUCUACUGGACAAAAAGGAUCAUAUUCUGACCCCGUCCCUCCCAACCAUUUCCUCUGCCUCAUCUUGAUGACUUUGAAGGGUACAAAUGCACUUGGAGCUUUUGAUGGUGUUCUGUUCAAUGCAACAAUUCCCACAUCUCCAGCAGCUGGCUUUGCAGCUAUUGGCGCAGACAGUUAUGGCUUGGAUGAUUUUGAUAAUUAUCUGCUUCCGCUCUUCAAAACUCAAACGCACGUCUGCCAUGUUACAGUUAAUUCCUUGCCACUCUGGUACUGUGUGUGGUACAGAACCACCUUCACAUUUAUUUUUCUAAUUAGACAUUAAGCUUUCCAUGUGCUGAAAUUUAGCAUUGUAGAACCAUAACUAUUAACCUUUUAGAUUGUUAUCUUUCGUAAUGUUAAGACUAGAAAACAAGAUCUCAAAAUUAUAUUUAGGACGAUGAUUACAAUUACUUAGUCAAUUACUUAGAUAAAAUAAUUAUAAAACAAAAGUUAUAUAAAGACAUAAUUAUACAAUGUUUAUGUUUUGUAUGUUCAUAAAAAUGUGUAUAGCAGUGUUAUGGAGUGUGUGUGUGGGUGUUUUCAAGGUAACGUUGAGAAAUUAGCGAUUGGUUGGUGGAAAUGCAGUGAGGAUGGUGAAAUUACAAAAAUGGUCUAGUGUAAUGCAAAUUACCCAGGGAUCUGAAACUGUACAGACAGGUUUUUUGUAGUGAGUUAGAUUUUGUUUAAAAUACCAUUUUAUAUUAUUGCAUCUAGAUUUAUUUCAUUUCAUCUAGGUUAGUAUUAGGGUUAGUGUUAUGUUGUAAUAAAAGUUAUAUUUAGUUUUGUUUCAUAAAAAGAAGAUUUUUCAAGUUUCACAAUUAAAUAUAUAUAUAUGUAUAUAUCCAAGCAGUAGUUCUCACCAAACUUUCAUACGCUGGCAGAACUACCUUAAAAAAAAUGUUCUGCUGGAGGCUGGUGUGGGUAGUAUAGAAGAAAUACUUAUCAUUCAACAGCUGUGAUGGGUUGGAAAAUUAUCCCACAUGGGGGGCGACUGCAUGCCAAAUGGUAUCUUCAAGGAUGGCGUAACGGGGUGCUCCUGUAAGCACUAUAAAGAUUAACUCAGGCACCUUUUUGCCAUAGAGGAAAGUAGGUUGUAAUAGGGUUUAUGAAAACACUGCACUCAUCUUUUAUCUUCAGCAUCAUUAUUAUUAUUAAACCAUUACUCAAAUUUUGCUUUGUUAUUUUGCCAUGUAGAGAUUUACUGCUGGGGUGAACAAUGCUUAAAAAAAUACAAAUAUGCUGUGUUUUUACUUUGGCUCAGCGUUGGCUCCCACAUUUAUGUCUUUUGUAUUUUUCUAUUAUACCAGUUCUGUUACUAUGCAAAUGCAAAAAAAAAAAAAAAAAAAAAAUACAAGUUGUUGCACUAUUGAUAUUUUUUAUACUAAUUUUUUAUUUAUAUUAUUAAUUAUUUAUUAUUAUCUAAGCAUCUGUUUGUAUUUGAGCUGGGUAAUGAAUAUAGAUUCUUAAAUUUAAUUGUUGUUUGUUGCUUUCCUCACUUUUAAACUGUGACCAUGUAAAUUUUGUCUAGAUGGAGAAUGGUAAUGUAUUAGUGUCAAUGAUUACAUUGAGAAUGGUAAUGUCUUAGUGCCAAUGAUAACAGUGAGACAAUCAUUAGAUUGAGGAUGGUAAUGUCUUAGUGUCAAUGGUGUAACACUAUGAUUAGAGUGAGAUGGACGAGAUGAUUUCAGUUCACGUGAAAAUGGGUCUUACACAUUGUCAAGCAAAGAGGUACCAUUUUUGAUCACACGACCACGUUUUUUUUUAGUAAGUUAGCGCCAUGAUGUAUCAAGAGACGGAGGUGUCUCUGUUUUAUGAAAUUGGAUUAAAUAAUAUGAGUACCUAAUUGGAGCUUUUUCUAUGGAUGUAGUUUGUAUUUGAUAUGAAAUAAUUCGUGAUGCUAUUUUAUGGCUGAGAUUGCCUACUUUCUGAACUAUUAUUUGAUGUAAUAAAUAUUUGUCUGACA